UUGACCUCGGAUCAGGUAGGGAUAUAAU
rnacentral:rRNA from 1 species